rnacentral:rRNA from 1 species
AUUGAACGCUGGCGGCAAGCCUAACACAUGCAAGUCGAACGAGUGGCGGACGGGUGAGUAAUGUCUGGGAAACUGCCUUAUGGAGGGGGAUAACUACUGGAAACGGUAGCUAAUACCGCAUACCAUCGGAUGUGCCCACAUGGGAUUAGCUAGUUGGUGGGGUAAAGGCUCACCUAGCCGACGAUCCCUAGCUGGUCUGAGAGGAUGACCAGCCACACUGGAACUGAGACACGGUCCAGACUCCUACGGGAGGCAGCAGUGGGGAAUAUUGCACAAUGGGGGCAAGCCUGAUGCAGCCAUGCCGCGUGUAUGAAGAAGGCCUUCGGGUUGUAAAGUACUUUCAGCAGGGAGGCGUUACCCGCAGAAGAAGCACCGGCUAACUCCGUGCCAGCAGCCGCGGUAAUAC